rnacentral:rRNA from 1 species
GGGUCAGUUGGUGGGUCGUGCCACCGGUACGUACUGGUCUCACUGAUUCCUCCUUCCUGAAGAACCGUAAUGCCAUUAAUUUGGUGUUGCGGGGAAACAGGACUGUUACUUUGAAAAAAUUAGAGUGUUUAAAGCAAGCUAACGCUUGAAUACAUUAGCAUGGAAUAAUGAAAUAGGACGAUCGAUCCUAUUUUGUUGGUUUCUAGGAUUGACGUA